rnacentral:rRNA from 1 species
AUGAGCACCGGGAAGGCGCCCGCGCUCUACCACGUCCGCGCCCGAUCGCUUACGAGCAAGCUGCUCGACCUCGACUCCUCGCCGGCGUGCCCCUCCCCGCCGCCGUUCCGGUCCCGCUCCCACGCCUCCGUGCCGUUUCUCUGGGAGGACGCGCCGGGGAAACCCAAGCUGCGUGCACCCCGGCCGACCGCUCUCUUGCUCCCUUCCGCGAGCCCAGCCCCGGUUCUUGCUGACGGCGGCGCGACUGCCGCCAGAGUGGCCGGCGGUCACGAGGACGGUGCCCCUGCCCAUGCGCGCCCCGUGCUGCUCAAGCUGAAGCUGCCGCCGCGGCUGCAAGCGGCGGAGCACCCGCUCUCCUCCCCCAAGACCGUGCUCCAGGGCCCCUACUUCGGCGGCGGCGGAAACAAGCCGCCGAGGCCGCUUAGGAGGAUCGCGAGGACGGCGAGCUGCCAGAUGAAUCUGCGCGCCGGCGGGGGUCUCUUUGUUUGGAGGAAGGGCGCGGCAACGGCAACGGCAUCAGCGGGCAGCAAGGAGGGCGGCCACUGUCAGCUCUACGCCGUGGCGCCGGACGCGUCGUGCUGUUCGCCGGCGGCGUCGUCGGCGUCCUCGUCGUCGUCGUCGUCGAUGUCCUACUUCUUUGAUGACCACAGCCGCAGGCAGGCCGACGGGCGCGAGGACUCGGAGGAUGGCGAGGCAGGCGCCGACGGCGGCAAGGGGUCGGUGAGGAUCACCAGGUUCAGGAGGAACCGAAGCCUUCCCACUAUGUCCAGAUCGCAUCUCUGGAAGAAAGAUGCUCGCAAUUUCACUGUGACGUCGCCGGAGGCGACGAGGACGAACCCCGAGCUCGGCGGCGGCGUGAGGCCGCUUGCCCCACAUAUCCUCUCUUCAGCCGUCGUGGAGAUGAUUCUAUGUAGAGCCGCCACGGGGGUUCUAGGGGCCAUGAUCUAUGUGUCCAUUUGUAUGUUCAUGGAGUAUAUGCUUUUCAAGAAUGCACGUGACAACAUCAUGUUCCUUGAAGCUGAGCUCGAGGCAAUGCAGGCCUUCGUCUUGAAGAUGUCCAAGGUAGAGGAGCUUCACGAGCGAGAUAAGUACUGGAUGAAGAAGAUGCAGAAACUUUCCCACGACAUUGACUACAGCAUCAGCGUCUUCAUGUUGCUUGGAUUUCGAUAUGAUAAAAACGUCAAGCCAAAAGGUUUCGAGAGCCUCAUAAUCGGGACCGGGAACCUACUGAUAUUUAUAAGGCUUCGCUCUAUGAUACUAAGGGAGGUGAAUAAUCUCGUAGACCGAGUCAUUGAGUUGGGGCAGCGGCAUGGAAGGUACAAAGUUGAUUACAACAUCUCCAAGGCUACCAUCCGGUAUCUGCAAAGCUCCUUCACGGAGCGCGCAGGACGACUCCUGGUCAAGCUGCUCACUCUUCUGCUCGAGGAGUACAAGCUUUUCAAGAGUGCGUGCGAUAAGAUCGUGUUCCUCAAACCCGAGGUUGAGACAAUGAAUGCUUUCCUUUUGAAGAUGUCCCAGGUACAAGAGCCUGACGAGCAAGACAAGUACUGGAUGAAGGAGAUGCAGAAGCUGUCCCACGACAUCCAGGACAGCGUCAACGACUUCAUGCUCUGUGUAUAUGAUAACCCCACCAAGCCAAAAGGUUUCAAGGGCUUCAUAAUCAGGGCAACAAACCUACUGAAAUAUAUCAAGACUCGCCGUGGGAUAUUAAAAAAGGUCAAUAAUCUCCAAGCCCUAGUCAUUAAGGUGUGGCAGCGGCAUGCAAGGUACAAAGUUGAUUACAAAAUCGCCAAGGCUAGCAAUUCCAGGUUAAUGGAACAUGAUGUCUUGGAGCAUAUACUUGAUGGCACAAAGGAACCAACGAAUCUACCGUUUGAACUUCUGAAGAGCAUCACUAGAAAUUUCUCUGAAAACAGAGAAAUUGGUCGGGGUGGAUUUGGAAUUGUUUACAAGGGUGUACUCCCAAAUGAGAUUGUUGCUGUGAAGAGGAUUUUCAGCCACCACACGAUCGAUGAGAAGAUAUUUUAUCGUGAAGUUAACAGUCUGUUGAAUGUUAACCAUGAAAAUGUUGUCCGGUUUCUUGGCUACUGUGCUUCUACUGAGCAUUCUGCAAUGAAGAUUGAAGGAUCAAGAGAGUAUAUUUACGCUGAGAUAAGAGAAAGAUUGCUCUGUUUUGAGCAUAUCGGCAAUGGAAGCCUUCAUGAAUAUAUUACUGACGAAUUAAGGGGACUUGACUGGAAUAGACGUUAUCAGAUAAUAAAGCAAAUUUGUGAUGGUUUGCUUUAUCUUCACAAGGAAAAGCAUAUUUUUCAUAUGGAUUUGAAACCUGAUAAUAUACUUCUAGAUAACCACAUGGUGGCGAAAAUCGCGGAUUUUGGAUUGUCAAGACUUGAUGAAAAAUCACAAACAAUGGAUGCAAAUCGUUGUGUAACAUUAGGAUAUUGCUGUCCUGAAUACCUACUUGGUGGUAAGAUGUCGGUCAGAUCAGACAUCUAUAGUUUGGGCGUAAUAAUCAUUGAACUGGUGACAGGAUGUAAAGAUAUCCCUGAGAACAGUAAUAUAAGGCCCCACUGGGAUGAUGAUAUGCUUGGAAUUGAGCCCCUCAAGCUACAUUUUCAUUUUGAACCUAACAAGCAGAUAUCAUGCCUACUUCAGUUAGCUAACGAUACAACUACUAGCAUUGCCUUCAGUAUACAAUCGGUGAGCCCGAUGCCAUACUGCAUACAACCAAACAAAGGAAUUGUGCCGCCACUAUCCAGUUGUGCCGUUGACAUAACAUUACAGUCGCAAAGUAAGCCACUGAAGGACAUGCAGCACCUGGGUGAGUUCGUCGUGCGGAGCACCAAAGUAGCUGAUGGAGUUACAACUGAGGAGAUAACUUCAGACAUGUUCAGUAAAGUGUCCGGUGAAGUUGUUGAUGAGGUUAACGUGGAUGUUGUUUUUGACAUGCCACUAUUACUUGAGGAAGCUUGA